CAGCCCCACCACCACAUCGUCCUCCUGCCUCAAGUCGCUAAACUUGCAUUCCAUAUACUUCGUCUUAGACCUACUCAACCUGAACCCCUUGGACUCCAGGGUUUGCCUCCAAACCUCUAAUUUUUCAUUUACACCCCCUUGCAUCUCAUCAAUCAAUACUACAUCAUUCACAAAUAGCAUACACCAUGGCACUUUCCCUUAAAUAUAUCGCAUCAAC
rnacentral:lncRNA from 1 species